AUAGUACUCCCUCCGUUCGGAAUUACUUGUCGCAGAAAUGGAUGUAUCUAGACGUAUUUUAGUUCUAGAUAUAUCCAUUUCCGAGACAAGUAAUUCCGAACGGAGGGAGUACAAA
rnacentral:pre_miRNA from 1 species